ensembl:lncRNA
GAACCCUGAACUGUGGCUGUUUCUGGUGUCUUGCCCCCGCGGACAGAGCGUGCUGGUGCCUCCCUAGUCCUCUGUGGGGUGGGUGGAGCGCAUGAGCCGGGUGCUGCUGGGCCGUGGCUGGCUCCCCAGCCCGGGGUUUGUGCAGGACUCCUUCUGAAGACAAUUUGGAACCCAGAAAGCAGCACUGAGAACAGGAUAAAAACAAGACCGAAACAGAGACGUAUGUGUGGACUGCAGUUAAAAAUUUUCAACACAACAUAGCUUAUAGGAGAGUUGACAUUUACAAAGAGCAGGAGGCCCAUUCAGUGCCUUCUAGGCAUUGGGAAUGGUGGUCUGUGGGCGACCCUAACGUGUGCGGCUUCCUGAGACGUGAUCGUGAUGCUCAGGCUUUUCCCGAGGGCCCACCGGGAGUACCAGAGGCUCUUCUUCUGCAAUCGGCCAGCCAGGCAGCAGCUGCUAGAGAAGGAACAAACAGUAAAAUACGGAAGUACACGGUGUUAUUGUGGCAGAGAAGUUAAAACCAGGCUCACUCUGUUCUUACAGUUUUAAAAAACUAAUAAUGAAGUCCUUGAAUAUGUAUUGCAUUUCAGGAUUUUAAAGCAGUUGUGGGUGUGUCUGUCUCUAGCUCCCGUUCGGGUGCUCCCUGUGAAGAGAGAGAUGCCACCUUUCCUUGUUGAGGUGACAGGGCCUGAAGAGGUGUGAACCCCGUGGUGGGGGGGGAGGCUGGGUCAGCGGUGGGGAUUCACCCCCACUCCACGUUUCUGUAGGGAAUCCACAGUUCUAAGUCUUUAUGAUAUGGGUAACAUGAACCUGGAAGAGGUGUUAUUUUUCAAGAAGUGUCAUGCUCUUUCCUCAUACUUCUCCGUGUUUAAGCAGCAUUGAAAGAUAAGGCACUACUAGCAUGUUGGCUUGGAAACAUUCUUGUUGGUUAUUUUACCUUGAACCUGAUAUUAAGGUUGCCUGGUAACAGAAGUUUUCCUUUAACAACAUGGAACUCUGUUGAAUCUGUUGCCCCAUUGGCUGAGCAGUCUGAAGUCAGUGCUGUGGCAGCUGAAGAGGCCUUGGAGGAAGCCGCUGGAUGGGCAGGAGGCACCCCCCUUGAUUGAGGGGGAGAGGCGCAGUUUGCAGGGACCCCACGUGGCACUGGCGGCUCUCUUCUGCCCCCUGCUGGCUGCCAAGCGGCCUCGCCACAGUGUGCUCAGCGUGAAUGUUCAUGGGGCAGGCCAAGGCUUUUGUUCCAGAAACACUGACUUCAGAAACAGCCGGCCCUGUGUGUUGAGCAUGGCAAGAAAGACAAGUGUGUCUUAAAUCUCUUGAACAAAGCAAGUUGAUGUUUCAAAUGCAUCUCGAAGGCUGACUUUGCUAUGGUCAAUAUUCAGGAGAAAAUGGGGUUUGAUGAAAUAGAAAGGAGUGGCAAGUGAGUUGCUUGUGCCCCAUAUGUCUAAGCCACGUCCUGACCGUUCCACACCACGGCCUCUGAGCAGCCAGCGUGCAGAUACUGGGUCAAUUUAGAUGGGACUCCUAGAGCUGUCAGCCGCCCUGGAGAAGCACGAGGAGUUCUGUGUGCCCAUGGUCAUGGUUCCUGCUACUGUGUCCAGCAAUGUGCCGGGUUCCGAUUUCAGUAUCGGGGCAGACACAGCCCUGAACACUAUCACUGAGGUAAAUCAAUAUCCAUAUGUGAUUUUAAGCAGCUCAAGCAUCAGCUCUUGAAAACCACCAGAAAUGCUGGGGGCAAAUUCCACCGAGCAGCAAAUAACGGAACUGCAUCCAACAACCCAGCACAGGCAGAGCCUCCAUCAUUCUCCUGCCCCCACCGGAGCAGCACUUCUGUACGACCGACAGACCCGCAUCAACGCGGCACCACCACCCAGAGUCCACAGCUCACACGAGGGCUCGGCCUGCUGCUGCUCACUCUGUGGGUUUCACAGACAUGGAACGGCAUGGAUCCCCCAUGAAAGCCCCAUCCGGAGUUGCUUCCCCACCCUACACAUCCCCCUAUGCUCCUCCCAUUCAUCCCUCCCUUUCCCAACCCCUGGCAGCCGCUGACCGUUUUUACUGUCUCCACAGCUUUGCCUUUUCUCGACUGCCCUGCGGCUGGACUCACACAGCAGGCAGCCUUUCCAGAUUGGAGACUCACUUAGCAACAUGCGUUUAAGAUCCGUGUCUUUUCAUGGCUUAGUGGUCCAGUUCUUUUUUGUACUGAAUAGUAUCCCAGUUUCUGACCUAACACAGUUUAUCCGUUCACCUACUGAAGUGCAUCUUGGUUGCUUUCUAGUUUUGGCAAUUAUAAAUAAAGCUAUAAAGUUGCUG